GAGCUUGCAGCACAGAAUCGACAGGAUGCGUGGCCGGCAAGGCGAAAAAGCCGCGUCCGAGCUGUCAUCUUCUCGGAAGCAGGCGCUGAUGCUUGGAGACCUGCAGAGCACGAACUGCAGCAUGUAUGCCGAAAUAAACAGCUAUUGCCUAUUUAAAA
rnacentral:lncRNA from 1 species